GCUCGGUUAGCUCAGCUGGUUAGAGCGUCGUACUAAUAUCUCACCCUGUGAAAUAUCAUGUAAUGCGAAGGUCAUGAGUUCAAUCCUCAUACUGAGCA